GAUGAACGCUGGCGGCGUGCCUAAUACAUGCAAGUCGAGCGAACGGACGAGAAGCUUGCUUUUCUGAUGUUAGCGGCGGACGGGUGAGUAACACGUGGAUAACCUACCUAUAAGACUGGGAUAACUUCGGGAAACCGGAGCUAAUACCGGAUAAUAUUUUGAACCGCAUGGUUCAAAAGUGAAAGACGGUCUUGCUGUCACUUCUAGAUGGAUCCGCGCUGCAUUAGCUAGUUGGUAAGGUAACGGCUUACCAAGGCAACGAUGCAUAGCCGACCUGAGAGGGUGAUCGGCCACACUGGAACUGAGACACGGUCCAGACUCCUACGGGAGGCAGCAGUAGGGAAUCUUCCGCAAUGGGCGAAAGCCUGACGGAGCAACGCCGCGUGAGUGAUGAAGGUCUUCGGAUCGUAAAACUCUGUUAUUAGGGAAGAACAUAUGUGUAAGUAACUGUGCACAUCUUGACGGUACCUAAUCAGAAAGCCACGGCUAACUACGUG
rnacentral:rRNA from 1 species